CCCCCACCCACCCCUAUUGUGAAUACAUGUCAAUUAAGGUGUCAAAAUAUUUCUGGCACCCUAGCUUGAUUGCCACCAUUAUUCCAUGCUCCUCCAGGUUUCUACGCAUUUUCUCUAUUAGAAAUUCCCCCAAAUCUCUCCUUAAUUUACGCACUCAAAUUUCGUUGUACCAGCAAAUGCUAUCGCUACCCCCACCGUUCGAACGUUACCGAGGCCAUUUUCCUUCAUGGGGCAGUGCUUAGCUAAAGUCAGGGGGAAAUUUUCAGCUAGUUUUUCAGCCAUGUCGAACGCCGGAGGUGAUGCCCUUCAACUAAUCCAGUUCCAGUUUUCUCCGUCGAAUCUGCUCAAGAUUCAGAAAGGCGACAUCACUCUGUGACUGUCGACGGUUCCUCCGAUGCCAUAGUAAGAAUCUGGGUCUGUGUAUGUGUGUGUAAGGGUGUUGAUUCAUUGAAGUAAUAGCUCAGCAAACUGUUCCCCCUUCCCCCAGUUUUUGUGCAUAUGUUUGCUUGUGUGUUGAAGUUUUCUCAUAUGUUUGUUUGUGUGUUGAAGUUUGAAAUUAGGAAAAAGAAAUAUAGAAGUCUGGAGUUCCAUUUUUUGGAGUCACUGCAAUUAUAUACUUUAGAUGCCACUGCUCGUAAUUAUAGAUGAAAAGUUGAGGGUUUGGAUUCUUAGGAUUUGUGGGCAGUCUUUUUCCAGGAUAUUUGGGUAAACCUCAAUGUAGUUGUCGAGCUUAGCACUCGGUGUUGAGAUAGGCUUAUAAAGUUGGUAAAAACGAUACUGGAACCCAGUACAAGUUUUUCAAUAAAAUUAGGAUACGCAGAGACACGUAUAUAUAUGUAUAGUAUUUUCGAAAGUUAAAUCAUAAAAUUCAGCAUAAUUUCAUUAUUAUAAAAAGAUUUAAAUAGAAAUUUGCCAUGUAUUAAAACUUUUAAUUCUAUUAUCUAUUUUCAAUAAUAAAAUUAUGGCUAUCAACUAUUAACAUAGUUUAACACGUAUUUAAAGUUUUAAUACUAUUAUCCACUUUCAAUAAUAAAACCCUAGUCGUCAAUUAUUUAAUGAUACUAUUUUCAAUAAUAAGUGUAAAUUGUGUAGUUAUCUAUUAUAUUAAAACGCGUUUACUUUAUUGAAAUUGAACAACUCAAAAAAAUGUUGACGUUUGACCCACUUAAAAGUUGACCAUUUUUAUUUUUGAGAAAAUUGCAGCAACGGUUCCUAACCUUUUCAAUUUUUGCAGAUUUUAUCAUAACCUUCAUUUUGUACCACUCAUAGUCCCAACUUUCAAACAUAUGCAUCUAAAGUCCAAAUUUGAGGAAGUCAAAAUAUGAUCAAUUUUGACUAAAUUAAAAAGAGUAAAAUGGUAACUUUGUAUUUUUCUCACAUUAAAAAAGUUAAAAAAAAAAUAAAAAAAAAAAUGAAAAUUAACCCUUUCUCCUCCCACUCUACUCUUCCCCAUUCCCACCCACACCGACUCCGACAUUACCACCCAAAGGCCGGCCACCAUCGCCACCCACAUAUCGUCAACAACGUCGCCCAAAGGCAGCAGCCACCGCCACCCACACAUCCAUUAUCUUCUGGGCUUGAACAAAGAAAUGGGAGUUUACGAAUUCAAGAAAUGGUUUCACUAUUGAAUUUUCACGGUUUCUUCAUAGCCACCCAUUUUCCUACCAAAUUCCCAUUUUCUUCUCAGCCACUAGAUUGGGGUCUUAGAGUACAAUCUCCGGAGCAGCACUUUGAAUUUUUCUAGUAGGGUUGUUGAAUUCAAUGUUAAAAUCCCAUGUAGGCAUUUUCGGAUUUUUUUUAAUUGAGUUUGAAAUUUGAAAAUAGGUAGUUACUGGCAGUGAUGGUGGUGGUGGUGGUGAGAAGAUCGGUGUUGGUGGUCGUAAAUGAUUUUCUUGUUUUGAUUGGGUCAAGGUGGAGAUAGGAGUGGGGGUGUGGUGGUGGUCGGUGGAUGGCGAUUAGCCACCACUGACGCUACUGCAAUUUGGAGUGGUGGGGUGGGGAAAGAUGAUGAUGCCCCAUUUUCUUUCUUCUUUUCUUCCUUUUUAUUUUUUUAUUUUUUUUAUUUUUCAUUCAUGGUUUAUUUAUUUAUUAACUUAUCUAAUGGGAGAAAAAUGCAAAGUACCGGUUUACCCCUUUCAAUUUAGUUAAAAUUGGUCAAAGCCCACUUUUCUUGGUCAACUAAUGGUCUAUUUGGACUUCACAUGCAUAUUUUUGAAAGUUUUGGGAUUGUGAGUGGCACAAAAUGAAGGUUAAGGUAAAGUCUGCAAAAAUUGAAAAUGUUAGGGACCAAUGAUGCAAUUUUCUCUUUAUUUUUAAAAAAAGAUUUGCCUAAGGUUUGGUUUUCAACCUUUUAAGUGUUAUCUUCGUAUCUAUGAAAAUAAUGCUUAAGGGUUGGCUAUCUCCCUCUUCAUCUCUCUUCCAACGCACUUCUGACGAUAGUCUUUCCAAUUCACUCACUUGCGAUGGCCUUUAUCAUUGGACUAGUUGGUAGGUUAGUUUUAUGUGUUUUUUGGAGUACUUGCCGUGGUUCGCCGUUCGCACAACAAACAUUUGAGAUUCAAAAAAUAAACUUAAAAAGGACACACCUUGAGACACUUUCGAGACUUGUCGAAGUGUGUCCAACAAGUUUCGAUGUCCUAUAUCAGUCGGCUCAACAUAGGUUGUAUGUGCCCAUGCUUCAAAGCUGUUAAUGGAGCAUCUCACUUUAGGUUAAACAUUUCGAAAUUUGAAGAAUAAUUUCAAGAACUUUUAUUAACUUUCCAUUUACGAAAAUGAAGCACUUACUUUCUUGAGCUCAAGGAACUUGAAGGUUUCAUAUACGUUUGCACGCGUGAGAUUUGUUAUUUGAUGCAUGACCUUUCGAUAUUAAUGAAAAUAUUUGAUGGCAAAUGAAGACAAUAAAAGGAAUUCCUAUAGUACUAGGAAAUAAUAUAGUUUUAUUUAAUUAGGUUAUUUUAGUUUAUUGUAGUUUUCUAGUUUGCCUUAAAUGAGGGUUUUGUUCUACAGCUUUAGUUGUUUUCCUAUUUAAAUUAGAUUGUUUAGAUUAUACAAAAAGAUGGUCCAAUGGAUUAUAAUAGAAAGACUUAACUAUUGAAUAUACUCACAUUUUCUCUCUCUAAGGGUCCAUUUGAUUGUAAGAAUGGAAUUUGGGUAGAAAUACAAAGAAUUAAAGGGAAUUGAAUUGUCUAGAACUUGUUUUAUUGGGAAUUGUAAAUUAAAUGUGUUUGAUUGAUAUAAUUUUAAACCUAAAAAAUGUUGAAAUUUUGGAUCUUUUGAUGUCUGUUUGACUUUGUUUUACAUAAAAAUUGUCAAUUAAAUGGAUGAAAUUUGUUAUAAUAGUGGAUAGAAUUGUUUUCAUUGCCCAAAAAAAAAUAAUAAAAAAAAAUAAAAUAAAACACAUUGGAAAUCAUUUUCUCACCUUUCCUUAAAAAGCUAGAAAAGAUGGUCAUGUGGGAAAACCAAUUCCAUGAAAUUUGGGUGUCAUCAAACACAAAAUUUUGAAUAAAAACUUUUCCAUUUUCCAUGAAAAAAGAAGGUUAUCAAACAGGGCCUAAAUUCUUUUUAUUUUCUUUGAUUUCUUCUCUCUUUCCCUUACUUUCUUCUCAGUCUCGUAAAUUGCUUCUUGUGAAUUUCGUUUAUGAGCUUCCUACAUCAAUUUUGUAUUAGAGCAAGUCGUUUUCCUUUCAUUAAAUUAGUUGAUUUUGUGAGAUAUGGUUCAUGAAAAAGUAUACUGCAUCAACCACCGUUCAAACUUGCACAUAAAUUCUGCAAUAAAAAUUACUAGUCCACUAACUAGCCUAUACACCUACAACCUCCUUUAACUGCUAAAACCAUCAUAAAGCCCUGAUAUAAGCCAAACUAGAAAAACUAUAAUAAACUAAAAUAACCUAAUGUAAAUUAAACUAUAUUUAUUCCUAAAUCCAAUAGGAAUUCUUCUUAUUCUUAUCUUCAUUCCCCACCAUAUAAGUUCCUUGCUAUCUUCAUUUUUCUAGCGACCACCACAAUUACCUCCUACAGCAUUAUUCUACACCUAUCUUCUUACCAAUUUCGUCACUUGAGAGUACAAAGGGGUUUUAUCAUGGCCGAUUGUUUGGACAACGAUUACAAUGUGGAUUCUGCUCAUUUUUUUUAGUCCUUGGGGGUUUAUAUAUACAUACUACAAACGCUCUCAUUUUAAGAAAGUAGGUCUUUUUGGCUUCACAAUUCUGUUAUCCUUUCUCUACGCAACCCAGGACUUUCACGUUGACUAGAGACAUCCAAAGCUUUUCCUAGUGCGUCAUGCGUCAUUCAAGCCCUCUCUCUCCCUCUAUGGUUAAUGAUUGGGUUACCAUAUCUAAGCUCCAUGGUUAGUCUGCGCUCUUUGGACUUUUCAAACUUAGCGGCUCGGCCUAUCCAACUUGUUGGGUUUUGAUACCCAAUAAUCCGAGCGAUAAUUUAAAACAGUUGUCAGAUUAUUUAUCGACACCAUGGACUUGGCUCGACUCGAAAACGAACUACACUUUUGAAUGGCUCGGGUUGGGGUUGGAUGGUUCUUUGGUUAGUUGGACCAUUUAGUGAUUAAUAUGAAGUUGGAUAUUAGCCCAUUAGUUUAGAUUAAUUGGUAUCCCACUUAGUGAACAUUUGGCCCAAUUGGAAUGACCUAAACUAACCCUAUAUAUGCCAUCUUCUUGCAGUAGUUUUCUUAAUGGUGGUGUGGGGGUGUGUAUUGAGAGAGCCAAGAGAGGUGAGGGGGCAGCCGGCUUGGUGGUCGUUGGAGUUAGUCCACCAUUGUUGCUUCUUCUUCUCCCUAUCACCACCACCAUCCUUUUUUCUUUGUGGAGUUUGAGAGAGUUUGGGCAGUCCAAAGUGAAGGUGGAGUUCUUGUGUCAAGUCAAGGUAAAUCGAUGUUCGUUUGAUUAUUUUUUGAGUUCGGAAUUAAGAUUUAUCGAGAGAUUUUCGCUACACAAUUACUUCUUGAUCGGCCCAGCUGCUAGUCGACGUGGCAAGGUUCUUUGGACUUUUACUUUUACCUUUUGUAUUAUUUAGCCUUGUCAAAUUAUUAAAAAAAUUAAAAAAAAAAUCUAUUUUUUAUAAUUGCUUUCUCUUUGGCAUUGUUUGGGGGAUAUUUUGUAAAAUCAUUUUCUCCCAAAAUUAUUUUCAACCACACAUUCUAAGAGACCAAUAACUUUUCUAUACAUUUUAACCGCAUUCCAAAACAAUUGUUUUUCAUUUAAAAAAUAUAUCCCAAACAAAUGCUUUAUUUCUUUUACUUAGUUGUUAGUGAACAAAAAAAAAAAAAAAUGGGGAUCACAUUGUUGCAUUUUUUGGAUUCAUUCAAAAAAAUAAAAAAAUAAACAAAAUAAAAAAAUCAAAUCAAAUCAUCUUGACCUGGCUUUGGAGUUCCGUUCAUAUUUUGUGUCCUUGGUAGGCAAUAAUUGCAAUUUUUUGGAAUAUUUUCAUUGGCCGAGCAUUCCACUCAUAUUUGUCAUCACCAUACACAAUUCAUAUGAUAACUCUUAUAGCUCCAUCCAGAGUCUAGGUUAGUACCAUCAUCAAGCAAAUUAUUGUCAUUCUGAGGAUAAUGUUGGAAACACCAAUUAUAUUACUAGGCAAGUCAAAUUAAAAUCGUGGGACUUUGGGGGUUGUUAUAAUCUCGAGACAUUUCUUGAUUAGCUCCAUAAUCUUGGAAAAAAAUUUCACUUGCACAACAUGAGUGGCUCUCGUCCUUUUUGUCAUGCUAGUGUGUAACUUGUAGGUUUUGCUGGGCAUUAUUGGUGGAGUCAUAUUUGUGUGACAUUGAUCGUAUAGGUCAACGCAUGUCACUUAGUGGUAUAUGUAACAAAUGUGCCCUUUUCUAUUAUCAAACUCAGUUGCUAGAUUAAUUCUUUUUAUACUGUGCAAGGUAUGCAACUUCUAGAUUUCUCAUUGGUUUGAAUCUUGAGAUCAAUCUUAACGACAUUUCCACAACCCAAUCCUUGGAUGAGCUUAUGGCCGGGCUAUCAGGGACAUGUUAUUCCAUCUUCGCAAAGCAUAUCGUAAACUAGCAUACCACCUCAUUCUCGACAAUUACAUUCUAAAUCCAAUAAUGAAUCUGGUUGUGUUAGCUCUCUUCAAAAAACUUCGCCUGUAACUGAAGUGCCUACGAUUAAGCUGGACCUCGUUUUGUUGUUCUCCUUUUGUUCCCAAAACUUAUCUAAUAAACCGUAGGCACUUAAUUUAAGAGUGUAAUGCAGAUCAACAUUAAUCUCCAUAGAGGAUUAUGGGAAAUAACCACUAUUCCACUACAUAUAUAGUAUAUUUAAAGCAUAAUAAUACUUGUACAUAAAUGUAUCACCUAUCAGAAAAAAGGAAGAGUACCCAAUUUACACGUGUACAACUUGCACACACGUAAACACUAUUGACGUGAUCCAAGGAAUGAAGGCAAGUUCAGGCAAGGAUUUGUUGAUUGUUAAAGAAGGGCCCAUGACUAGGUUGUGAGCAAAGGGGUUAAAGAAGCGAUGGGAUUACUUGUCCAAUCUACAAUGGACAAACAUCGAUCUUGACAAGUAAAGAGACAAGUUUCAUGUUGGCUUGGAGAAAAUUACGAAGUGGAUCAACUCGAUACAAGUUUCAAACGAAGAGGCUGAACAAGUAAGCUAUGCGGUCACAUUGCUUACUAUGGCAUGCGACCUUAUGCAAUGAAACGGAAGGUCACUGGAGUUUUUUGUCUUGAACUAUGCGAUCGCACGCAAUAAUACUAUGUGUUGACAUAGUGUAUUCUGUGAUGAAAUUUUCAAUUUUUCGUGAAAUCUUUUAUUUAUAUUAAAACUCUAAUUUUUGUAAUCUUUUAGGAUUUCUUUUCAUUUUAACUUGGGUUUACAUGAGUUCAAUAUAGAUAGAUCUCAUUAUUUUCAUUGUAACAUAACUUUCAUUCAUAUCAAUGGAGAGAAUUAUUUUGGGAGCUUAUUUUGCUUUCAAUAUUUUGUACUUCAUUGAACUAAUUUCAAACUUAUCAAAAGUUGUUUCUUGUAGCGUUCAAACAAUUCGAGUAAAAUUAUCGAAUCUUGUGAUCAAGGGGUCAACAUAUUGUCGGUAAUUAUGUUGAUUAUUUGGUUCAAUAUAUUUGGGUCAAACUCAAAAGUCAAAACUUUGAUUUCUUGGCUUUCUUAGGUUGAUUCAAUCUUUUGUAAGUUUCGUAGCUACUAUUGUUACGUGAGUUCGCAUCAGUUGGUAUCGGAGCUUAUACUCCAAAAAUCAAGGUUAUAUUCUUUUCCCUUUUCACUUGAGUCUUUUGUUUUCUUUCUAUUAAUCUUUGCGUUUUUUUUAAGUCUUUAAUCCAUAAAAGUUUCAAAAAAAUUCGAAAGUCAUUUUUGUGCUCAUUUAUCAUCCAAAUAAGUUUCCGUUUCUUUUGCUAGUGUUGUAGCUAAGUUUUCGAGCAAAAAAAUCGAAAAAAAUUAUUUAUUUUGGAAAUUACAAGCUACAUAUAAUUCAUCAUAUAUAUAUAUGUCUAACCAAAAUUUAAGAAUCAUUUUCUUGAAUUAAAAUAGUUCCCAUUCAAAGUGUCAAAUUUCCUUGUUUCUUUCCUUUCUUUUUUGAGUCUUCUAAAGUACAAUUCUAACUUACAUUUUAGUUUGAAUUCUUUGAGAAUAAAGCUUGGUUGAGAUCAAGUCAGUUCUUUGAAACACUUGGGCAAAAGUAUUGAGUGGAGAAAGGCAAGAGUGGUGAGACUAUUAGAGGGAAAAAGUCAAAUUUGAGUGAUAUAUGAGCCACAUGAGGCACAUAUUACUUUAGAUUUAUGAUGUCUAAUUGAGACAAUUCUACCUCAAGCAGGUACAACAAUCAAGUCAACAUUUCGGAAGAAUUCAGAUGACGAUUCGAGAGGUUCAUCGAAGAUAUGAGGGACAAGCUUGAUAGGCAAGAGGCAUGGAUGGAAAGGCAAGAUCCAUUGCUCACCAAUUUACGUAUGGAUCAACCUAGGGGAGUUCCCAAUGCAAAAAGGCAAGGUAGGCAGGAGCCUAGGAUGGAGAAUCGAGUAGAAUAUGAAGCUGGUCGUGACAUUGAUGAAGGGACAUUAGUAGAUGUUGAGAAAGGGAAAAUGAGUGAUAGAGGGGUUAGGCAUGAAAGGGGGGUAGAGAUCUUGUUGGAGAUGGAGUUGACGAACGUAUGGACAAUAUCAAGAUGACAAUUCUUUCAUUCAAAGGAAGAAGUGAUCCGGAAACAUACUUGAAGUGGAAAAAGAAGAUCGAUAUGAUAUUUGAUUUCCACAACUACUCUGAGGAAAAAAAGGUGAAGAUUGCAGUGCUUGAAUUCACUGAUUAUGCUAUUACUUUCUGGGAUUAAGUAGUGACAUCUAAGAGGAGACAUCGUGAGAGGCCUAUUAGUACUUGAGAAGAAUUGAAAGCUAUCAUGAGGAAGAGGUUCGUGCCUAGUCAUUACUGUAGGGAGCUUCAUCAAAAAUUGCUAAGCCUCUACCAAAGUUCUAGGAGCAUGGAGGAUUAUCAUAAGGAGAUGGAGAUGAUGAUGCUUAGAGCGAAUGUUGAGGAGGAUAGGGGGGCCACCAUGGCCCGAUUUUUGAAUGGUUUGAAUAGGAAAAUAGCUAAUGUAGUGAAAUUACAACAUUAUGUAGAAUUGGAAGACAUACUACAUGUGAAUAUGAAGGUGAAGAGACAAUUGAAGAGGAAGGGGACAAGUAGGUAUCCAUCUGGUUCUUCGGGAUCUAAUCCUUCUUGAAAACCGAAGUGGGACAACAAAAAGGGAGAUGGGGCUAUUUCGAAGGACAAAAUUGAACCAUCAAAAGGAAAAGAGGAAAGUGCUAGCAAAGUCACAUCCAAAGUGGAGUCCCAAACGUCUAGGAGUCGAGACAUCAAAUACUUUACGUGCUUGGGGUUGUACACAUUGCUUUUGAAGUGUCGAGAGAUAUUGAUGAGAACUAUGGUGACAUGUUGGAAUUGGAAAAAGCUAGUGAUGGAGAAAUGGUGGAAUAUGUUGUGGGCUAGCUAUUGGUUACAAGACGAGCUCUUAGUGCUCAAAUCAAGCUGGAUGACUUAGGUCAACAAAGGGAGAACAUAUUCCAUACACGGUGCCAUAUCAAUGACAAUGUAUGUAGCAUGAUUAUUGAUGAAGAUAGUUGUACUAAUGUGGCUAGCACUAUACUCGUCGAAAAAUUGGGGUUAACCAUGUUAAAACAUCAUAAACUUACAAACUACAAUAGUUGAAUGAAUAUGACGAGUUUAGGGUGAAUAGGAGAUUUUGGUAAACUUUUCAAUUAGAAGCUAUCAUGAUGAGAUGAUAUUCAAUGUAGUUCCUAUGCAUGUCAGGCACAUUUUAUUGGGAAGACUAUGACAAUAUAAUGGGAUGGUGAUACAUGACGGGUACAAAAAUAGAUAUUGCUAUAACAAUGGCAAAAAAUCUAUUAGUCUUUUGCCACAUUAAAACCAGUACAAGUAUAUGAAGAUCAAAUUAAAUUGAAAUGUGAGGAAGAAAAAAGGUUGAGAGAAAUGAAGAGCAAGAGAGAAAAUAAUGAGGCGGCUAGUAGUCAUAAAAAAAAGUAUAACCACAAGAGGCAAAAGAAAAAAGAGUCUUGCGAGGGGAAAGAAAAGUCGAAAGUGAAUUUCUUUGUAAAAGGGAGUGAGCUGAAGAGGGUAAUAGUUGAGAGGCAACCAAUAAUCUUAUUUUUCUAUAAGGAGUCACUCUUCAAUUUGAUGAAUCUAAUACACCCCUCCUUAGUUUAGCUACUACUUUGUUGUAGGAAUUCGAAGACGUAUUCCCAGAGGACGUGAGGAGUUGAUGAGCAAAGGGUAUGUGAGGGAGAGUAUAAGUCCAUGUGUCAUGCCAGUUAUAACUUGUGCUAAAAAAGAUAGAACAUGGGGAAUGUGUGUGGAUUGCAGAGCCAUCAACAAUAUAAAGGUAAAGUAUCAUUACCUGAUUCCUACGUUAGAUGAAUUACAUGGCUCAUGCAUAUUCAGUAAAAUCGAUCUUAAAAGUGGUUAUCAUAAAAUUAGAAUAAGCGAAGGAUAUGAAUGGAAAAACUGCUUUUAAAAAUAAAUGUGGGCUGUAUGAAUGGUUAGUUAUGGCAUUUGGACUUACUAAUGCACCCAUCACUUUUAUGCGAUUGAUGAAUCAUGUUUUUGCGCAUUUAUAGGUGAAUCCGUAGUAGUUAAUUCAAUGAUAUCUUGAUUUAUAGUAAGGACUUAAAGAAGCAUAUAGAACACUUAAGAUGUGUACUUGUGAUUUUAAGAAAGGAACAACUCUUCCAAUUUUAGAAAGUGUACUUUUGUUGGGAAAAAGUUAUUUUUCUUGGAUGUGUGAUUAGUGCAAAGGGAAUAGAAGUAGAUGAGGAGAAAUCAAGGCUAUCAACGAAUGACAAACACCUAAAAACAUAAUUGAGGUUGGAAGCUUUCACAGGUGGGCUGGUUUCUAUAGGUGAUUUGUUAAAGACUUUAGCACAAUUGUCACACCACUUAUGGAAGUUGUUAAGAAAAGUGUAGGAUUUAAAUGGGGCGUAAAAUAAGAACAUGCAGUCAACACUAUUAAAGAUAGGUUGUGUAAGGCACUAGUUUUAGCAUUUUCUAACUUUGACAAAACUUUUGAGAUUGAAUGUGAUCAGUGGUGGAUCCAGGAACAAAAGCUAGCUAGGGUGGUCGUUGGCCGUUAACCAUUGAUUGUCGACAUUCAACGACCGAAAUAGUGAUGUCGUUUAUUAAUUAAUUAAAUAAUAUUAAAAAUUCUCCAAUCUAAAUGUAAAUACACUAAAACAUAAAAAUAAUAUACAUAUGAAAAAUAUAAUUUAAUACAACCCAAAAUAAUUAUAAAAAAAACACAUAAUAUUAUUUAUCACAAAAAAUUCCUAAUUUAACAUUUAAAUGAUGACAUUACACAACCAUGUAAAACCAAGGAUCCAGUUGUAUAUAAACCUAACCACAUCCAGUCAACUAGUCCAAUUGCAAUUAAUCUAAUUUUCUUAACUAAAUAAAUCAAAUUAUAGCUAAAAUCAAUCUCUUCACAUGCCCUAAAGUGCAAAAGUUACAAUUUUUUUUAUCAUUUGAGAAGAAGAUGAAUAUAAUGCAAUAAAAUUAUUGACAACGAGGUGGUGUGUGCGGUGCAUCGAGUUGGAGUUUGUGUAGAAGAAUAGGAUUUCGAAUUACUUGGUGUUUGAGUCUCAAAUUGGGAUAUUUGAAAGUCAAAUAUUGAAAUAUUGGCAAUGGAUGUAAUUGUUGUGAUUUUUGACAAUUAUCAAAGAGCGGCCGUUGUGAGUGGCAAUCUGCAAUCGCGCACAACACUAUUAGCAUCACUGGAGGCAUGCAUUAUCACAAUGCUCGCCCUUAUUCUAGCUGUGUCUUCUCAUGUGGCAGCAUUUUUGGACAUCAAUUUCCAUGUAUGGGAAAGAAAAUCGAAAGAGAACAAGGGCAGCAAGAUAUGUGGUUUGUAGUGUGCAAGCAUACGCUGCUAUAGAUAGAGAUACCGGCGUUUGAAGGGAUAUGUCAAAAGGUCUAGCUUCUAUUAAUGAGCCACAUUUUUAAGAAAAAAAGGCCCAUUCUUUUCCCAUUUUUCUAAAAUAAAAAAGGCCCAUUCUCAAACAAAAGAAAAAUGGCCCAUGAGGGCCACGACUUCAUCUUCUCCAAUUCUCUACCCGACAGAGAUCGCAGAUGAUAGAUCACGUACGCGGCUGCUGUAAAUUUCGAGGAAAAAUGGCCUCACCACCUUGUCAGGCGUUGGCUCUGCCACUGAAUGUAAUGCCUCAUGAAUAGGUAUUGGAGCUAUUUAAUGCAGGAUAGAAAAUCGAUUGUGUACUUCAAUGAGAAGCUAAGUGGAAUAGCUCUUAAUUAUACUACAUAUGAAAAAGAAUUGCGUGCACUUAUUAGAACUUUGGAAACAUGGUAGCACUAUCUAUAGUCAAAGGAGUUCGUGAUUCACACUGACCAUGAGUCCUUGAAGCAUUUGAGAGUCAAGGUAUGCUAAACAAGAGGCAUGUAAGAUGGAUGGAGUUUAUUGAGACAUUCUCCAUAUGUCAUUUGGUAUAAACAAGCUAAAGAAAAUGCGGUAGUGGAUGCAUUAUUAAUAAUGUAUGUGCUAACUUCUUUAGGUGCUAAACUGCUUGGAUUUGAAUUUGUUAAGGAUAUGUAUGCUAAUGAUCUAGUUUUUUCCAAUAUAUACGAAUCAUGUGAUAAAGGUGCUGUGGAUAGAUUCUUUAAGCAUGAUGGGUAUUUAUUUUGAAAAAACAAAUUAUGUGUUCUUAAAUGUUCAAUGAGAGAGUUGUUGGUAAGAGAAGCACAUAAUGAGGGUUUAAUGGGCCAUUAAAAAGACCUUAGAGAUAUUACAAGAAUAUUUUUAUUGGCCUAAGAUGAAAAUUGAAGUUGAUCAACAUUAUAGUAGAUACAUCACUUGUAAAAAGGUUAAGUUCAAGGUUUUACCUCAAGGCUUGUGUACACCUUUGCCUGUUCCUAGCCAGCCUUGGAUUGAUAUAUCUAUGGACUUCAUUUUAGGUUUACCUAGGACUAAGAAAUGAAGGGAUUCCAUAUUGUGAUAUUAGAUAGAUUUAGUAAAAUGGAGCACUUCAUUCUAUGUCAUAAAAAUUGAUGAUGCUACAAAUAUUGUAGAUCUAUUCUUUAAAGUAGUGCGUUUACAUGGGAUUCCUAGGAGCAUAAUAUCGGAUAGGAAUGUUAAAUUCCUUAGUCACUUUUGACGGGUUUUGUGGAAUAAGUUAGGCAUAUAGUUAUCGUUUUCUACAAAUUUUCACCACAAAUAGAUGGAUAAACUGAAAUAGUUAAUAGGAACAUGAUACAAUUGCUAUGCACUAUAAUUAAUAAGAAUUUGAAGAGUUAGGAAGAGUGCGUACCAUUAAUUGAGUUUGCAUAUAAUAGAGUCACGCAAUCUACUACUUCGUUUUCUCCUUUUGAAAUUGUAGAAGGCUUUAAUCCAGAAACACCUUUGGAUUUGAUUCCUUUGCAUGUUAGUGAACGAGGUAGUUUGGAUAGAAAGAAGAAAGUUGAAUUUGUGAAAUCACUCACAAGCACUAUGCAUCGCAAGCAAAUAAAGGUCAGAAAAGCGCUACAUUUGAACUCGGUGAUUGGGUUUAGGUACACUUGAGAAAUAAAUGUUUUCAUGAACAAAGAAAAUCAAAGUGACAGCCACGAGGAAAUGGUCCAUUUCAAGUCCUUGAAAGGAAUAAUGACAAUGCCUACAACUUAGAUCUUCUUGGUAAGUAUAACGUUUCAGUUACUUUUAAUGUUUUGUUUAUCUUUUUCUCUUUGAUGCAGGUACAAAUUCGAGUUUGAAUCAUUUCAAAGAGGAAGUGAAUGAUGUAAUCCAAGGACUGAAGAAAAGUCCGAACAAGGAUUCGUUGAUCGUUAAAGAAGGGCUGACACAGGACAAAAAUGUGGACAAAAUAAAAGUGUCUAGUUCAUAAUACACAAACAGAUGUCUGCUCAAAUUUCGCUCGAACGAACGUGAUAAUUAUUUGGAAUCUACCAAUGAACAAGAAAACUAAAAUAAUUUAUUAAUCAAGAAUCGAAUAAUGAAAUUGAACUUUGAAAGUGUAUAAAGCCUCUAUAUUUAUAGACAAAAUUAUCCCCUAAUGUUACUAAUAUAAGGAGUCUAAAAUAAGGAAACUAAUAAAUUCUAAUCUAAUUAAAACUCAUAUUCUAACUAAUAAAAAAAAUAUAG
rnacentral:lncRNA from 1 species